UACAGAGGUCUCAAGCGUUGUUCGGAUUCAUUGGGCGUAAAGGGUGCGUAGGCGGCGGGGCAAGUCAGGUGUGAAAUCCCGGGGCUCAACCCUGGAACUGCACUUGAUACUGCUUUGCUAGAGUACUGGAGAGGAGACUGGAAUUCCAGGUGAUAGCGGUGAAAUGCGUAGAUAUCUGGAGGAACACCGGUGGCGAAGGCGGCAUCCUGGACCAACACUGACACUGAGGAGCGAAAGCCAGGGGAGCAAACGGG
rnacentral:rRNA from 1 species